rnacentral:pre_miRNA from 1 species
UGAUGAUGAUGAUGAUGAUCAUGAUCAUGAUCAUGAUCAUGAUCAUGAUGAUGAUCAUGAUGAUGAUCAUGAUCAUGAUCAUGAUGAUGA